rnacentral:lncRNA from 1 species
GGAGGCACAGGGGAUCUGUGAGAGGCAGGGCUGCAUCCAAGCAUGCUGCAGGUUCCAUCCAUCCGAUAACACAAGGGGCAGUGACUGUACAAGCUGGGAGCCGCUCACUUCAAUGUGAUGGACACAGACACAGGGAAGGAAGAAGAAAGAUGAAGAGCAAGAGGAGUGAGCCAUCCCCUGUUGCAAGAAAAAGAAAAGCCUUGGUGUUGGUGCUAGAAGCCUCCAGCACCCUGGGAGCCUCCUGGAGCAGAAGCUCUCUGCUCGCCACAUUGCAGCUGCAGGGACUUGUGCAGUAAGGACCCCAAACUUGUAGGUGGGAGAAUUAGAGGUAAGUGUGAGGGGGCAGUGGGCUCACGGGCUGCUUUGAGCUCUCCAAGGGUGAGCUACAGCUAUCUGAGAGACAUUUAGAUGCUCUCCCAUUCCCGGGGCACGAUGGCUCAUUUGGAGUAUAAUCACCAUCAUUCUGUUUAUUAAGACAUGACUAUUGAAUGUCUGAUUGGCACAGAAGUUUGAUUUGUGGUUUUGUCUUUAUAAAGGAAUGUGCUUUUGCUU